rnacentral:rRNA from 1 species
GUGAGUAACACGUGGGUAACCUGCCCAUCAGAAGGGGAUAACACUUGGAAACAGGUGCUAAUACCGUAUAACAAUCGAAACCGCAUGGUUUUGAUUUGAAAGGCGCUUUCGGGUGUCGCUGAUGGAUGGACCCGCGGUGCAUUAGCUAGUUGGUGAGGUAACGGCUCACCAAGGCCACGAUGCAUAGCCGACCUGAGAGGGUGAUCGGCCACAUUGGGACUGAGACACGGCCCAAACUCCUACGGGAGGCAGCAGUAGGGAAUCUUCGGCAAUGGACGAAAGUCUGACCGAGCAACGCCGCGUGAGUGAAGAAGGUUUUCGGAUCGUAAAACUCUGUUGUUAGAGAAGAACAAGGAUGAGAGUAACUGUUCAUCCCUUGACGGUAUCUAACCAGAAAGCCACGGCUAACUACGUGCCAGCAGCCGCGGUAAUACGUAGGUGGCAAGCGUUGUCCGGAUUUAUUGGGCGUAAAGCGAGCGCAGGCGGUUUCUUAAGUCUGAUGUGA